rnacentral:rRNA from 1 species
GUGUCAGCCGCCGCGGUAAUACGGAGGGUGCAAGCGUUAAUCGGAAUUACUGGGCGUAAAGGGCGCGUAGGCGGUUUGGUAAGCGAGUUGUGAAAGCCCCGGGCUCAACCUGGGAAUGGCAAUUCGAACUGCCAGGCUAGAAUGCAGCAGAGGGCAGUGGAAUUCCAGGUGUAGCGGUGAGAUGCGUAGAUAUCUGGAGGAACACCAGUGGCGAAGGCGACUGCCUGGGCUGACAUUGACGCUGAGGUGCGAAAGCGUGGGUAGCAAACAGGAUUAGAAAC